rnacentral:rRNA from 1 species
UACGGAGGGGGUUAGCGUUGUUCGGAAUUACUGGGCGUAAAGCGCGCGUAGGCGGAUUAGAAAGUUGGGGGUGAAAUCCCGGGGCUCAACCUCGGAACUGCCUCCAAAACUGCUAGUCUAGAGUUCGAGAGAGGUGAGUGGAAUUCCGAGUGUAGAGGUGAAAUUCGUAGAUAUUCGGAGGAACACCAGUGGCGAAGGCGGCUCACUGGCUCGAUACUGGCGCUGAGGUGCGAAAGUGUGGGGGAGCAAACGGG